AUAGGUAUUAUGCAUUAGCUUCUUAUCUAUUUUGAUAUUUUACUAUCUUUUAUCAACAGAUAGUAAGUAUUAGCUAUCAUAAGCAUACAUUGGAGUCUUAGUGUUUUAGUAGUGUACUUAAUUAAUAUGCGAAGUGAGAUAAGUCUAUGAUGACAAAUUUAUCCAGUAAAGAUAAGCCUAUGAUAAGAAAUCGUAUCUUAAUUAAGAUACGUAUUUUCAGAUGAUAUUCUAUGGUGAGGAAACAUUUGAUCCGGUGUGCGUGUUCCCUUUGGCCUUUGCUAUAAUGGUGGAAUGGUUUUAUGUUGUGAAGGACGUUGCAUUAGAUCCUUUCAUAGUGGCAAAGAAUCUGCUGAAGACGCGGACUCUGAUUGUGUCUCUCUUGGUUUGACAAGAGAUGAGAUUAAAGGCUAUGCGUUCCUUUAAAUGUCCAAAUUGUGAGUAUAAGAUACAUCAAUACAAUGCGACGAGUUCGAUUUUGAUCAUAUAUUCUUUGGACUCAAAAGUAUUUUCAGUUGAACAUUACAUCUGGCUAAUGUUGUACUGCACAUGGGUUGACGGAGUUCGAUUUUGAUCAUAUAUUCUUUGGACUCAAAAGUAUUUUCAGUUGAACAUUACAUCUGGCUAAUGUUGUACUGCACAUGGGUUGACGGAGUUCGAUUUUCAUCAGUUAUUAGAUUGAGUUGGCACUUGGCAGUACAGUAUUGUUUUUCAGGUAUUUGUAUUUUAUUUCAGGCUAGGAUGUGAUCUGUGAGAUUGGUCGAUUGAGAAAGGUUACAUGUUUCGAGCUUAUGAAGAUUAUUUCAACUUUCAUAUGUUGAAUGCUGCUCUUUAUAAUCUAUCAUACAUAUGUUGCAGGGACAUUUGCACAACGUCUGGACUUUCAUCUUACAAGAUCCGCGGUUCAAAAGCGACGAGUGCAUGUGACUCUAUAUCUUUUAAAGAUUACUUAACUUCUAAAAAUGUGCAUUGUAAAAUAUUUUGGGAAAAUUUCAAUUAACUUCUUUGGUAUCUCUUGAAAUCUAGUAACAAAUAAAUAUCCAACUAUUUUUUGUGAAAAAAAUAAGUAAUAGUGAAAUAUCUCAAUAAUUGUGUUAUAUCAUUUUUUUUACAAUGUUUCGAAGUUGUAUAUGCUUGGAGUGAUAAUGGGUCGUGAUACUGAUUUUGGACACUGAAAGGUUUUCGCGGUCAUUGCCAAAGUUUGGCUGGGUGAGCUUAUGUAGGAUACGCAUUGUAUAGAUAUGAACAAAAUGUGUUAUGGUGUUGUCCAAAAACAUUAUAACUAAUGCGCAAAGAUGAAUAAUUUCUAAUGACAGUCAUAUUCAACCUUUUCAAUUCGAAAUACACCUUUCAAAUUUAUGUUAUUACAAUUACAAAGCAAUUGCAAGAUAACAAGCUUAUACAAGAGAUCAAAAUUAAGAGCUUCUUUCCCACUUUACAAUGAAAAAUGCCAAAAUUAGAACAAAGGAGAUGUCUUCUAAAGGCAUCUUAUUUUCCAC